AUGAAUGCUCUUAGGCUUAACACAGGCAAAUGAAAGAGAAAAGAUAAUUUUUGCAUAUAUCCUCUGUGUCAAGUGUGAGUCCCCGGACUCUAAGGGAAGCAGGUAUUCGCUUUUUGGGCUGAAGGCUGUCACUCUGGAUCGCCCGAUACAUCAGUCUUAGUUCAUGCAUGCCAAUGAGAACAAACCCUAACAAUGAGCUGUUGAGUGAUGCCAACAGAAAUGAAUGUUUCUGAAAGCUUCAGGGCUUUGGAGAAAGCAGCUGAAGCUAACUGUGUGCCACUCUCACCCCCGCUAGCUGUCCGAAGCAGGGUGAGAUUCUGGCAAAACCCUCCCACAUAAUGGACAAAUUUGAACACACCUUUGUUUUGCGGUGGGCUGAGUAAAGCCGAUAUGAGACUGUAUAAUUAAGCCAAAAUACCCAACCAUGUUAUUUCCUUGGAGGGGCUCGCUAUAGAACAGCCUAUCCAAAAUUAUUAACAUGCCUAGUAAUUAUUAUUGUUAAUUCCUGUUUGUCAGCCUGUCGCUCCAUCACGGCAGCGAUCACGUGCUGAGAUAUCCACUGCUCAGGACAUAACACGCUUUUGGAAGCAGACAGUUGUUUAAUUGAUAGACUGUAUAGAUGGGCUGACCUGUUACCUUUUCACGUUUCCCUUUACUUCAGCCUCCUGGACUCUCACAGUUCCUUGGUAGCUUUUCUGAUCCAUCAUGUUAGCCUGGCAUCUGCGUCUCUGCGCACUGCCUGCUGCCCACCACCAGCCAGAUUUCAGCCUCCAACACGUGGCAUGCCCUCCUCCCUCACUGUCACCUCACCAGAGAGCUCAUUUUGCCUGCACUUCUAUUUAAUGGAUUUCAUGUAACUGGCAGAACUGCUUUCUCUCAGGGGUCCUCUCAGCCCAGGGCAUCAGCUCCACAAGCACAGAGGAGUGUGUGUUCCCAGAUGUACCCAGGUGUGUGCCACGUACCCAAGAUCAGGCUCCUGCAGUCUGAGCCUCCCCACCUUGGUGAAACACAGCCAUUUAUACUUGGAGAUACGUUUCCCAACCACCUGGUAACUUCUGCCCUUGCUCUGGAACCUCAUCUUUUCUCAAACUGAAUUUCUCUGUGGCAUGCAGACCUGCAAAAGACAGCAUCUUGCACCAGUGUACUCAUUUUGACACAGGUGCACAGAGUAAAUUGCCCUGUGAGGUGUCUACCCCCUCCUCAAAACAGAGAAAAAUGACUGGAAAAUGGUUGAAUUUUUACAAGCAAAUUUUCAAGUAUGUGAAGAUUUUUUUACUGCCAAGAUGUAUAAUAGGUGUUUUUGAGAGGUCGUUAACUCCAGCAGCAUAGUCAAAAACAGUGUUACACCCCACACUGCAUCAUUCGUUAAGCAAUUAAGUUACUGAUAGGCUUUUACGUUUAUUUACCUUGAUGGAAAGAUAUGUUUACUCAACCUGAGUACAAAUCAACAUGAGGAGGCGGAAGUUCAGAGUAAAUUUGACUAAUGAUGUUGUGUUUUCAUCCUUAAAAGAAAGAAAAAAAGCCUCCCUGCUUUUGAUGCCAUUUUAUCUUCAUUGGAAGGGAUCCGAAAUGAUCCCAACUGUCAUGUGAGAGCUCAGGGAGGCUCAGAUCCUCUUUGAUUGCCUCUGAACGUCUCUCUCCGUUGGCUCCUACCUCCCCGUACAUGAAUACAGCGUGCAGCUCUUCAGGUUGUUUACUGAGCAGCACUUUAACUCUUCCCCCGUGAAUGCUCUUGUGCCUUUGAGCAAAGCAGAGUCUGCGGCCACCUCUGCCUGGGGGGAGUGUUAGCACAGCCCUGCUGCUGAUGUGAGGGGAGAAUUCCCUCUCAGUUUUAAGAAAACUUCUGAAAUACAAAACUGACUGGUGCAACUCAUAUUUCUUUCAGCAAACUUUAAUUAUCUCUCAUUUUCUUUCAGGCCCACUCUGUUCUCCAGCCUCGUUACAUGGGUUUCUGUCUCUCCUCAGCAUCCCCUUGAAUGGCAUCUACUGCAUAUAACUUUUUCAGCCCACAAAGCUGAAACACUUUCUGUGAUUCAAAUGGCUCCAGAACAUCUACUCACUAGAAGACAUCCUCCCUGAUUUCUUGUGGUGCCUGUUGGAUUGCUGAAGUUGCAGUUCAGAGACAAACGAGAUACCAGAACAGAGGAAUGUUUCUCAGAAGGACCAGUGAGACAUCUCCUGACCUCUGUCUCCAUUGGAGGAUAUAACUGGAGUAGAAAAGAGAAGCAGAGGCACCACAGACUACAGAUACCCAUGGGGAAUGUUGUUCUGCCUCAAGUUUCAGCUCUACAACAUGGCCAUGGCCAGAUGAGGAUGGACGUUAUAUACCCAUAGGUUCCUGUGAGUGGGUGAAGUGGGUAAGGGUUUAGACAGAGGCUGGUAACAGUCUGAAGGGAUGCUGAUCUGGGUGAUGGGGACUGGGACUCCAAAGCAUUCUGUUGCAGAUCAAAAGAUAAGUCUAGUUGCAUCCAUUGAGCCUCUGGUUUUCUCACCUUCCUCCUAACCUGUUUUCCCAAUAAUUUAUUUGUCUCAGUCUGCUUUUUCCUUAUCUGCAGAUAGGGCUACAAGGCAUACCAUACUACAAUGAAUAUGGCCACUUACUCCAUGCUGGACUAUGGGAGAAAGUUUUGCACAGCUCUAGUAAAAGAGGUGAACAGCUACAGGUUUGAAAUGCCUCCUAGCCUUCCGUAGACCUCAAAAGGCCCACCUCACUUAUCCUGAUUAUCCAUUAGUAGAUCAGACAGCAUCUCAUUUCGUAGACACAAAUGUUCAGUGGUGUUCUGCAGUUGCUUCAAGAAUAAAGAAACUUUCUCCUGAAUCUUUCUGAGCAGUUGCUGGCACUGGUCAACCAUAACACAACUUGUCUUUGCCAGAAGCCAAUGUCAGACAGUAUGAAAGGGAACUUCCCCCUCCUUCCUGCAUAUUUAAGUGCAUAACAGUUUACCAUGGAAGAUGAUAUGCUUGGAGAUAUGAUUUUGCAGAGAGUUGUUAGAGUUAGGGUACUAAGGAUAGACUGCAGUUGGACUUGAUGUUCUUUCAGGUCUUUUCCAACCUGAGUAAUUCUAUGAUUCUAUGAUGCCUUUCUGACUCUAUUUAUUGACUAGCUUUUACCAAGAACUACUGACACUAUUACAUAAUACUUAUUAGUAAAACUCUCACAGAUUUUUUCAAGGCCAGGAACAACCACUAUUAUCAUCCAGUCUGAUCUUCUGCAUAAUAUAUGCUACUGAACUUAACCUAAUCUGAACUCGGUGUGUAGAUUUGCUUUUAUGUCUAAAAAUGCCUCAUCACUUACAAAUAUGAUACUGUUUCACAGAAUACUAUCUGUGCAGCAGCAAGUUCCAUUAAUUAACCGUACAUUGUUUGGAAAAGCAAUACCUCUUAUCCGUUUGAAAUUCGAUACCUCUUCGUUUCACCUUGCGGUAUAGGAAAGGGUUUUUUAUUCCUUUGCUGCUAAUUAGGUUGGAGGAUCAUGAGGACAAAAUGUUAUUUAUAUUAUAGUCAUGUUUAAGGAGAGCUCUGAUGAAGCAUGGGGAUUCCACUGCACAAAGUGAGGGAGACUGCACAAUCUCUUCAGGACUGCUUGAAUAGACAAAUGGCAUAUUUUCAAAAGAGCUAAAUGAUUUCACCAAAACGAAUGUCAGACAAGUCAAUGGAUUCAUACUACUCAAUCACCUAUGCAUUUCUGAAAAAUCAAUCCAAAGUCUGAAGGAAAGAAAAGCAUGGAAAAAUAAAGUCCCUGAAGCUAAGGCCAAGAAAUAUGUUUGGUAUAUAGUCAGUGAAAAGAAAAUCGUGUUGCUAAUAUGCAGUGGACCUUUGUCCACUGUCCAUAGGUUACUUUGAUUUCCACAAGCUCAUGGCCUUAAAGUCUUCCCUUUAAGAGAGCAGGGUGCAGUGGUGAAAGAACAAAGCCUGCUGCAUGUGUAGUCCCCAGAUCUUUUGCCUAGAGACCAAGGACAACUACAGUAACUCAGGCAACAGUUGUUAUCCAAGUUUAUGGAAAGGGUUCAUGUGAGAUUUGCAGUCCUGUGAGGGUCAAUCUGCUUUGACAGAUAGGCUGGGGUUUGUGUUCUUUCCCUCUUCUCAAGGAAAUUCCCCAUCCUUUUGACUUUUAUCAUUUCUUAUUGCCAUUCUCUGGACUUGUUCUAUUUCUACUUCCUUUUUUACAGGGAUGAGGUGACCAAAUUUGAAGACAGUAUUCAAAGUGAGGAUGUGCCACUGAUUUAUAUAAUGGCAUUAUAAUAUUUUCCAUAUUAUUCUCUAAAACUCUUUUCUUCAUACAAACCCCUUAAGAUUCUUUUUAAUUCUUUGAACUAUAGUGCCUUUUAACAUCUGUAGUUUACUCUGAUCAGAUUUUGACAAAGGAAUAAAAGGCUCCAUUUUUCACAUAGAAUUUUAUUUAUUGUUUGAACUUUAGAGGAGAAAUUGGUUAACUUACAAUUUAAAAUUCUUGGCAAUGUAGACCACUGGACAAGGAUUUCAUUAUCAGCCCUUCUGUACUUUCUGUAGAAAUGUGCAAACCUGAAAGUUGGCGGACAAAGUCUUGGCUAAAAAGACUUUACUUUCCUAUUAUAAACAUAGCCAAAGACAGUUUGGAGCUGCAAGCAUUCCCAAAGAUGUCAGAGAUAUCAUUCUUCCUGAUGCAGUGUGCUUGGGCCAUGCAUUGGCAGGCCACCCAGCCAGUGCCGUGUAUAUGUGCAAGCGGCACCCAAAUGCUGUGGUCUCCUGUUUACCUUACCAUGUACUUCCACAGUAGGUCAGGGAAAGACCCCUCUGAAAAUGAGGCAGUUGGUGACUGUAGAGGGUGAGAAUCUUGCUCUCAUGUCACAGCUGGGCAUGAUGCUUUCAUCAGGGUAUUAGAAAAGGCUCAAGGAAAACAGUUACAUCCAUCCUAUUGCCUAAGACACUUCCCGCAGCUACUGACUUGUCUUAGAGUUACCAAUCCAAAUGCUGACCCUGCCUGACCCUACUUAUCUUUUAAAAGCUGACAAGAUCACAGCCUGAAGCAGUAUAGCCACAGGCUCAGUACUGGCUACUAAAAUGUCUGUUUAGUAUUUUCAAAAAUGCUGCUUUUAAGAUUUACAAUACAAGCUGCUGGAUGUAUGGACAACACCGAAACACAACCCUGACCCCUGAUCAUUCAGCCCCACUUACACAGAAAUUUGUGCCUCUCGAGGGGCCAGCACUGAGUUGCUGCAAAACAGUCAUUCCUUACUUGCAAGUGAGCUGGAAUUGAAGUGUCAUGGGGUUGUAUGCAUUCAGGUACUGAUUUCAGAAUUCAUUGUCAGCUUCUUUCAUUAGCUGCAUUACUGCUUUAACAGUAGAAAGAGUUCCGCCAUUUUUGUGUAAUAUCUUUUGGUUUGGUAUAGAAAAUCAUCCUAAUUCUUUUAUGACCAAAGCAGUUUUUCAUCACAAGUUGGUUUUAGAUGAACUGUAAGUUUCUUCCCUAGCAAUGAAAGAAAACACAUAUUUUUCUGAAUAUUUCUAAGGUUAAAUGGAUAAACACAGUUUUAAAUACUCAGGAAACACUAAGGGACCAAUCUAGCUUAGUUGUUUGUGCAGUCAUACAUGAUACAAAUGAUAUAGUUCUUGCAGAGUUCUUGAAGGAAAGACAUGGAAAAGACACUGAGGUCUUAUUGCUCCUGUUGGAAACUUCUGCUAACUAUAGCAAGAGUUGGACUGGGCCCAGAGAAACCAAAUACACACAAGUUGCAAUGAGUUGGCCAUACAAGCAAGGAAAAUCAUAGAUAACAGAUACACACAAAUUAGUAAUGUACCUUUAAGGUCAUCCAGUACAGCUUGCUGGCACAUUGAGAUUGUCUCCUAUGGUAUAUUUUUGGUUGCUUUGGAUGCCUGGAUUAAAUGUCCUAAAUAAUGCCAUGUACUUAAGGAGAGAUUGUGCUGCCUAGUAUAUCCUGUUAGAAGUUUUUUUUCCUUUCUUAACAUUAUCAUAUUUCUCCCAGUUACAUUUCUUCGCAAACCUCCUUAUUUCCCUUCUGGGUGCUAUUUUUCUCCAGUGUCUUCAGACUAAUGUGAUGUUCCAUUUAGUUAACGUUAAGUCAGUUCAUACCUAGUUAGAUCAUUUAAUUUUUUCUGAUAAACCAGUCCUUUCAGUCUCCUGGUUAUUUUCUCAUCUCCUCUUGUCCCACUCCUGUCUGUCAGUAUCUUUUUUAGUUUUAAGAUUUUAAAGAUGUGGUGCACUUAUCUGAACUAACUUCAGGUCUGGCAUCGACUUGAGCACUGUCAAUAUCUUCUCACUGGAAACCACUCCUGAUGUGCUCAAGGGAAAGCCACUAACACUCCGAGCAGACAAGCAGGCAGAGCAUCCUGUUCAAACCAUUUCCUUGAUACCACCUGUUUUACUGAUCAACAAUAACAAAAAAUGUUAAAACAUUUAGCCUGGUGAUUCAAAAACGAAAUAUGGGUCACUAUUUGUUGUCGAUAUUUCCAAACUCUUAGUCAUGGACAUUACAAUCUAAAAUUAUGGAAGACAUUGUCUUGUAACUAUAUUUGGGUGCCACUGGAGUACACUGUGGAAAGUAAUUAUAUAUGUAGGCACAAGCCUAGCUGUUCACAUCAGGCAAUAAAUUCUGAUCAACAAACAACACUCCUUUAGUGCUAAAUGAAAUCUUGGCUGUAAUUGAAUGUCUUUACCUUUGUGUUCUGCUGGAUUGGAGGAAUAUCAUUUUAAUCUGCUCUCUUUAAAUUUUCAUUAAGGAACGCUUCAGCUACCUACAGCCUCAUCUGAUGAUGUUUAAUGAUAUAAGCUAGUGCAUUCUUCCGUGCACCAGCAGGGGCUUUUUUAAAUUGGUCAACUGUACAGAACAUUGUUUUCAUGUUUAAUGUACUUGGAAUCAACCUUUUAACAUAAUGAUGUCUCUACAGACAGUUUAUGUACAUAGCUCACACACAUAUGUGCAUGUGUAUGUAUACAUAUAUAUGCGUAAGUGCACACAUACAUAGAGAAACAGUGAUCCUAUUCACCUUCUUGAAAACAUUUCAGCUACUAUUAGCAUAAAUGUGCUGUUAAGUUGGCAGUGUUAUACAUUUUUGUUGGAGUUUACUUCUGUAACCUAAAAUCAGGCAGAUAAGCUGUGAAACUCAUGCAGCUGAUGACAUAAUGCUGGGAUCUCAUGAUGCUGAAUGUCAUAUUUCUAGGCGUAAAGGAUGGAUGUUCCUUUCUGGAAUUAUUAUGCUGCUUAUUGCAAUAUAUGUUUUCUUGUUUUCAUGUGGGCACUGAGAUGUUCAAACCAUUAAAUUUAUAUGGUAUAAUGAG